AGGCAAUAAUGAUGAAAGAUUUAAAUUAUCUUAUAUGUAUGAUGAUUCAACACCUCCUACUCAUUCUGA
rnacentral:snoRNA from 13 species